GGAAGUGAUAGUUACUAAGGCGACGCCAAGCCACAAGACGGUGUGAGCAAAGCUGAGUUUUACAAGGUCGGCUCUCGUGGCCUUCUCCAGUCUCGGUUUCCAGGUUGAGGCACUGAGUGGGUCACUCCCCUGCCUCAGGCGUCCAGGUGUCCCCAGCUUUGAGUUCCCAGAAGGUCUCGGUGCCAACCUCUGCGAUGUCAUCUUUUAAAGGAAGUCAGGCUCAGAAGCCAAGGUUGUCUGUGUUUUCCAAGGGUCCACUGGAGAUUCCAUCUCCAACUGAGGCAGACUGGCCUAAGGAUGAUGAGAAGGAUUUUGUCUUCAAGGACGUGGAUCAAGAACUGGAUUCCCUUCCUCAGCCUUACCGAAUGAUCAACAAGCUGAUAAACCAUCUGUUUGACCGCUCAUGGGAAGUUAUUGAAAACAGAGAAUCUUUUAGGGAAAAUGUGAAGAACUGGACUGUGCCUGCCAUCUACCCUCCAACUGCAGAAAUCCAGCUCGACAAAAUGCCUGGCGGUAUGGCUGUCUCACAAGACUAUCUGUUUAUUGGAGGACCCAAAGGAUUCUCAAUCUAUAAUCUGCACAAUUACAAAAAAAUGCUUGUUUUGGAGAAGUUUAAGGUUGAUGUUAUUUCCAUCUGGGCCACAGAUUUGGGGAAUGACGUACUCAUUGUUCCUGUGGAUGAAAUGGGUAUUGUUAGAUUGUUUUACUUGUGUAAAGACAGCCUUUAUCUCAUCAAAGCCAUCAAUGAAACGGAUGACACCACCAAGCAAAGCACCUGUGUAAGGAUGGAAGUCUCUCAGAGCGGGGACUAUGCAGCUUUCCUCUUCCAAGGAGCUGGAGAUGUCUGGCUGGAAGUGUAUAAGUUGCCCAAGGAAAUUUGGCUAAAAGAAGUGGAGCACCCCCAAUUGACUCUAAAUCAAAAGAAAAAGCCCAAACAGCUGCAACUGAACACUCCUGAAUCUGCUGUUACAGAAAGCACAGAAAAGAGCUUGGGAUCAAGUGUCAGCCCUAACACAACCCAGGACUUAAACAUUUCUUUUAAAAGUGACCUUAAGUUGAGUCUUCCAGUUUUUAUAAUGAAGAUUAAACCACCUAAGCCCAUAGCAGGCACCACAUUUAAAAGCCCCUUGGAAAUCUUUGCAAAGGUGGAGGACUACUUCGGGCUAGGCUCUGGGCAGAACCACUUUAUCAAGGAUGUGCAGUGGGAACAACACAUGGAGAUCUUCUAUGCCUCCUAUAAGAAGCACCUGGAAGGGGAGUGGGAAGAGGAGCCACUCAGUAUGGCCACCUUCCAUUUCUUCUAUACUAACUCCUUAACAACCACACCAACGGAUGUCAAGAGCUCUUCCGGAACAGCAUGUGUCCUUGGCAUACACUGGACUGGAAGUCACAAUUUCUUCCUCUAUUCACUGAACAAAACUCUGAAGGAUAAAACUGAUUGUGAGAAUGUGUGGCCCUGUGCUGCGCCCAUCGUAGUGUCUCAGAUCAGCAGCUUCUCCUCUUACCUGGCCCUGGCCUGUGAGGAUGGUGUGCUCAUUCUGUGGGACCUGGCUCAAGGAUUCCUCUUUGGGGUCAUUGCUCUGCCUGAAAAAUGUUUCUGCCAAAGCAUUCACUUCCUCCGGUUCUUCCUGGUGCACAAAGGACAAAAUGUGUACCCUGACUACCCAGUGAAGUUUGAAGUUAUGUGUGUAGUGCUAUGCACUAAUGCUUCCCUCCACCUGGUGACAGCCAGCGGGACCAAAGGACCCACAAGCAAGUUGCUUGUUGACAGCCCUACAAUGUCCACAGAAGAAGCCAUUUAUGCUGUGGCACCAGUCCCAGCUUUGCCUGGCAUGGUGCUAAUCUUUUCCAGGAACUGUUCUGUAAGCCUCAUGGACGUGGCCAAGGCUGAGACUAUCUGUGCCUUCUCAGCCCCGACAUGCCACCCACCAGACAUCCCCUGGAAGCCACUGUUUGUUGUGUCUCCACACCAUCCAUUUUUUCUGCUUCAUGGAGCCCGUCCAUAUGACAAUACCAACUCUACUCAUGAUCCCAAGAAUACCACAGAUUCUGUUUUCUAUUUUAAUUUUGAGGAUUACUCACUCCUGGAAGAUAUCUCCAAAAAGUGCACCGUUUCUCAAAAGGACUUAGCAUAUAGCCAGGUGUUGUCAAUGGAGAAAAGAUACGAGCAGUUCCUCCAGAAGAGCUUCCAGAAGAGCCAGAUGAAAGGGCGUGAGCAGUGGUCCAGGCUUCGGAAGUACUCCAUCAUGCUCCAGAAAGAAAACUUAAAGAAGUGAGCACCCUGGAACUCCACAGCCCCUGCCCAGGAUGCCGAGAGGUAGAAAGACUGCAACAGAGAGCCACAGCUCAAAGCCUGGGACCUCCAUGGAGCCAGCAGAGCUGAGGGGAAAGUGUAGAACCGAGUUAUACAGCUUGGAACAACCUCAGACUCUCCUAGCCCCGCUGCCACAGUCGAAGGGGCUCAGCUGGUUGGAAUAGCCACCAGCCAAGAACACUGUGGUACACCAGGAACAGUGUGGAGGUAGCGUGUGAGUUUCCCACCUCUCCCUCAGCCCUAUUCCCUCUUAGCUAGGCUCUCAGCUGUGAUGAGCAUCCAUGACAUACACAAUACUCAGGUACAGAUAGCAUCCAUGACACAACAGCCACAGGACCCAGACAUGACCAGGGAAGGAUUCACACAGCACAUACAGCUCACGUUCCCUUCCUGUGGCUCUAGCCGAGUCCCAAGCCUGCCUCUCCCUGGCCUGACUGUGGUCAUAUGGCAAUGUCAGCCACACAGGCUUGUGGCCAUGUCCAUACCUACAGGGACAAUAGAUGUCUGCCCCGUCAAACUUCAAACUGCCCAGGGGAGAGCUAUGUGAGGAAAAGUAAGUGGAAGGGUCCCAAGUCCAUGUCCUGCCAGCUACAACUCUGUCAUGUCUGCCCUCUCUGCUUCUGUGAGCAUAUAGAAACAAAGACAAAGAGCCUGGAAUUCCAAGGUGUCCUAGGACCGGUGAGAAGGAACCAGACCUGGCAAAGCCCACUCCAGGCUAUGAGGGCUCGAGACACACUGGCUAGGGGUCAGCGCACUAUCUGCUGAGGAGGGGGCUGGUGGUUCUAAGAAUGAGAGGCCAGGAGCAUCGAGAGGCGAGCAGUGCUGGGGUGAUGCACACAGAGCCCAGGUACGAAAGUUAAUGCGGUGCUUCCUCUCACUGUGGUGGCACCAGACGGAAGGUGUGACUGGAGUGGCCUGGCCUGGCCCUGGGAUGAACACUUAGUAGUUAGGUGAGGCAGCCUUCCCUCAGCUCUCCCAUUCUCAGGUUGCAGAAGCCUGUGGGGCACUUACCCACUCAGAUGGCUUUAUUCGUCAUGUGACCAGAAAACCCAUGUGCAGCUAGUCUGCACAUCUCUUCUACCUGAGUCUAAACCAGACUCUGCAGCCUUCUCAGGGACUGCCUGUCAUCUGCUAAUGGGGACACUGUUGGGCACCGCCACUCUUCCUCUGCUCCACCUUCCUCCAUAACAAUGGCUUAGGUAUUAAGUUUUGUUCUUAUGUGUUUGGGUGUUCUACCUGUGUUCUUAUAUUUUUGGUUGUGAGCCCAGCCUUUAACGGCUGAGCCAUCUCUCCAGCCCUUUACCUGAAUUCUUCUUGGUGCACCAUGAGCAUGCCUGGUACCAGCAGAGGCCAGAAGAGGGUGUCAGACUCUUGUUACAGGCUGGUGAGCCCCAUCUUUCCUUAUAACUUCCCAUCAUUAUGAUGGUCCUGGGAUUGGCUGAGAACUUGGGUCACAGGCUCCCCCACCAUUGGGCUGGGGGUGCCUUCCUGGGUACAGGACUACUGAUGUCCUCACUGGGGACUGGCACUUGGGGUUUCCUCCAUGUGCCGGUUGGGCCAGGAAGCAGGGGGAUGGGGCCUGGGAGCAGUGGGAGGUGACUCUUUUCUAUCGACAGUCCUCUGUCUCAGCCACUAUUAGCAGGGGCCUGUUAAUGAAAGUUCACACCCAGGUGCUAAUAAACAGUGGGCUGCUCCCAGGCCCCUCAGAGGAGAGGUCCUCCACAGGGAAGGGGGCUGGCCAAUGAGUUCCACUUAUCUGUGAAAAGACUUGCUAAUAACUUUAAUUCCCCAUCCUAAGACACUGGGCCUUUACUUUGCAAAUAGAUUUUCUAUAAUGGGUUGGCUCCUGGGCCAGGAAGACUUCCUGUUCAGAGCCAGGUAAGGUACUGGGAGGAGAGUGUCAGAAGUUGUCAGAGGUGCUGGGAAAGGGAGUGGCCAGUGAAGGUGUGAGGUCCCCCACCCCGGUGAUCCCUGAUGGGUCACUUUCUCUGCAGACAACCCUAGAAGCCUGGACCCCUGAGCUGCAGAACAGGACCAUGACCCACACCGUGGGACUGCCCCUCCUGGUCCUAGCCAGAGUACUGGAAAAAUCACCCCCCAGGCGAUCUAAAACAAAUCCCACAGAAGAAUGGAUAAUUGUGAAGGAGCAUGUGAAGAAUGCAGUAUUGGGGUUCACUGUGUAACCAUGGAGAGCCUUUCACUCAGAGAUUUGUCUGCUUCUGCCUUCCAAGUGCUGAGGUCAAAGGUGGGCGGCCACAUCUGGCCAGCAGCUUCUUUUUGGAGGUAAUAAACAAAAAUAC